rnacentral:lncRNA from 1 species
UUGAAACUUGACAUCUUCAAUAAGUAGGAAAGUUGCCUAAGCAGCUGUAAUGACAUUCUGGCCAACUUCAAAGAUAGUGGACCAAUACUAGCAUCGAAGAAGUAGGUUGUUCGAAGAAUGCAUGGUGCUCUUAAUCAAAAAAGAUUUCUUUCCUAGUGAAGUGUGCCCACUUUACUUUUUUGAAAAGUACAGCCUUUCAGAAAGCUAGCAUAUUCACCGCAAGGUGAAGUGUGCCCACUUAGUCCCCGAGGCUAGCAGUAGGUGACGUAGGCACGUGGUGCCAGGGUCAAAAGAAAAGUCCUCAAAGAGAUUUUGAAACUGAGAUGCAUCGCCAGAUGCAUCGUACCGAUGUAGUCCCCGAGCUUGCUGGAAGGCGAAGUAUGAACCUUGUAGCAAGGUCUAAAUAAUUAAAAUUAUCCAGUCCCCGAGCAUCUCAUACUCAUUUACUAUCGGAUAGACUUAUCAAUCUGGCGGGCUGAUCGACCAGUCCCUGAGAGAGAAGAUAGCUAUACAUGAAGAGCGGGCGCUGCUGGAACCACCGACUACGCCAUCUAGCAAAUCCCAGGACGACAGAGAAAACGGAGAGUCCCGUUCGGAGGACUUAAAAACACCGAACGCCUUGCCCAGAGGUAAAUUUGGUAGUUAUCUUUUUCCUUUCAGUUAUUUUAAAAUAGUUUGCUUAGUUAAUCAGGUUCAUAUCAUCUUGAAAAGAAAAUAAAAAUGUUAAAAAUAGUAAGCCCCAUGUGAGUAUGCUCAUGGCAUAAAACCCAUAAGUACAUUCACUGUGGUGGCAUAAAAAAUGAAAUAAAUAUAUUCCUAUCCUAUAAAAAUGAAAAUAUAAAAAUAAAUAAAUGAUCCUACUAAAGAGAGUAACAUUUAUUGAGGAGGCUCAACAUGGGCUAGAUAUUUAUGCUAACACUUAACCAGUUCCACAAAGCUUUUUUUGUCUAUUUGAGCUCCACAGAAUUCAAGGAUCAAAGAAGGCUAGCAGAUGGAGGACAUCCUAAUCGCUGUCAGGGUGCUGCCGACAUUCAAAUACACCUCCACCACUUGCUAGCUACAUCAAAAGGAAUUACGUCAAAAUCCAGCUUGGGGGAGGGCACCCUCAUUUAUUCAGCUAAGUGUUCUACUCACGUUUAUAUUUUACUCAAAUAAUAAAAAGAUGCAUAAUCAUAAAAACCAAAAUAAAGAUUUUGUGCUUAUAUAUGUCUUUGCUUAGUUUGCUAAAUAAAUAAAGAAAUAAAGUUUGCUAUGAACCCUCAUGAUAAGCUCUCACAUGGAAAUGAUGAAUAGUUGCUCUGCCACGACUAGUUCUCAGAAUUGAAAUCUCUUUCAAGUUUAGACAUGACUGUUAUUAAUUAAGAUUUGCUCUAAACCUGAACUUGUGGGAAGAGUACCUGAUCUAAAGUCUAAGUUGUUAACGGAUAUGAUAUGGGAAGGUUGAGCUGCUGUUUAUCUGUUCCUAGAGAUGCUAGAAUUCUGGAGAAUUUUAUCUUUGAAAAUCUUUAAAAUGUUGCAUGAUGAGUUCCUGUAUGAUGAGAGUUUAAAAUCCUAACACAGCCAUAUGUAUAUGCUUAUUAGACUAUGAACCAUUCAUUUACUUUUUACUGCUUAUGAGCAUUGAGUGUGGUCAAGCUAUGUAGACCCUUAGGAGCUUGUCAUGUGGUUAAAAUCAAGAUUCACUUGCACAUUCACUCAUACAUGUUGCUUCUACUCCAGAAGUACACAUCCACAUACAUCCACCCAUUUCCAUCUCCAGAACCACCAAAAAAUAUUCUACUCCUAAUCCGGGAGAGAAUAGCCAAAAACAUUUCUAUUUUCCCCUAUGAAAUAAAUGCUCAAGUUAUCUCGGUUACUACCACUUGCUACAUUAUUUCAAGAGAUGAGUGCUCUAAAAAAAUACGAGGAAAUAAAAAGGGGCAAGUGCCCGGAACCUCAAAAGAAAAGAAAAAGUGAGACGAGAGGUAAAAAUGGACAAGUGUCCGACAGUAGAAUUAGGGGUACAAGAUACCCACCUGAGAGAAAAGAAAAAGAAAAUAUAGAGCAUCUCAUUCUCCUCAAAAAGUUUCAAAAGAGCAAGAAAGGUAGGUAUCCCCUCAAAAGAGCAAAAGUAGAAUUAGACUUCCACUAUUGUUAUCACCAUCAUGACCAUACACCAUUCAUUCGCCACACAUGCACAUCUUGAUUUGACUUAUUGACUUGUUCUUCUGGAUCUAUGGUUUGACUACGCAAUAAAUGUCUUGUAUGUAUGUAUUAGCUGUCUCCCACCUAUGAGCUCCAGAUAUCAAAACCUUAUUAGAGUAGGGUGAGACAGAAGGCAAUGGCACUAUGCCUCAUACCAAAAAUACCACAUACUUUGAGAGAAGGCAUACACCAUUACUGCCUUGGUAAGGAUCCAGAAAUACCACAAAAGAGAGACUAGAGAGAGUCAUACAAGGAAUCUCUAAGUUUUAUUUGAAAAUCUACAAAAACUCCAGAGCUAUAGUUGAUCAAGAACAAGAGACAUGGUGCUUGGCUAGACCGUUCUAUCUUUUAACUGCUCAAGACACAAGUGACGGUUACAAGCCCCAUGGUGGAAAUGUAAUAUGAGUAAGUUUAAAUCUUAACAGUUUACCCUAACCCAGAGAUGAGAUCUUGUUUGAAUGCAUGUGUAUCUUUAAGGCAUGAAACCACUGCAGAAACUCUUGAGUUCAUCUUUGCUCAGGGACGAGCAAAGGUUAAGCUUGGG